GGACUCAAACUUGACCCUUUCCCUCCAGACAGGCAUCAUGCAAGACGUUGCUGAAUUUUUUAUCAAUGAAUUUUCCCACACUGAACACACCUGCAUUCCCAGCACCCACGUCCAGAAACUAUUACUGACCCGCCAGCGGCCCCCAGCUUGUCACCCCCCUGACUUCUCCCUGCACGGUGGUUUGGCCUGUUCCUGAGCUUUACGUUCAUGGAAUCGUGCAGUGUGGGCUCCUCUGCGUCUGGCAUCUUUAACUCAACAGGACGUUCACGCCACACACAAAUGCUGCUGUGUGUGACUGCAGUCCAUUCACCGUCGCGGCUGGAGAAUAUUCCAUGGGGGAUGUUGCCAGACCGCGAGGCUACCCCUGCCCUUUCAUGGUUUGUUCUACACGGGAGAUUUCAGGAAGAGAGAGAAGAGGUAAGAGACCAGAAACAAAGUCUUCUGCCAGCAAAGAACUGCAGCAGGCCCUAGCCAGUGGGUGUGAGGGCGGUCUGGGCCAGGUGACUCCAUUGCAGAGUGGGCCAGGGGUUCCCUUACUCACCCCUACCCCUGGGAGCCCUAGGGACACCAACACUACCAAUAAUAAUUGCAAGUAUUCAACAAAUGAUGCCGGAAUAAUUGGACAUCUGUGUGCAAAAGGAAUGAACCCAUACCUUGCACCUUAUCACAAAAUUCACUCAAAAUCAUAAGCCAAACUGUAACAUGUAAAACUAGAGGAAAACAUAGGAGAAAAUCUUUGUGACAUCAAAGCACUGACUGUAAAAGAAAAAAAAUGAUAAAUUGGACGUCAUCAGAAUUGAAUACUUUUGCUCUUGAAAAGUCAUGCUUAAGAAAUGGAAAAGACAAGGCACAGACAGGCAGACAAUCUUUGCAAAACAUCUACUUGAUAAAGGACUUAUAGCCAGAAUAUAUAAGGAAUUCUCCAAACUCAAUAAGAAAAAAGCACAGCUGGGCUUGGGUGGUGCGCGCCUGUAAUCCCAGCUACCUGGGAGGCAGAGGCCAGAGAAUUGCUUGAACCCAGAAGAUCAAGGCUGCA